rnacentral:misc_RNA from 1 species
GUGUAGCUGUGAGUCUGUUUCUUUCUUCACCUGCGAUGUUUGCACUGUUGUCUUCUCAUUUGGAAGAAGUAAUUUGCGGUUUUGUUAUUUGCUCAAAGAAAAGGAAGAAAACGACUUACAUCUCUCUGGCUUGAAGCAGCAGCUUUGCAGAGAGUGAAAGAUUUUUUUUUUUUCUGCUUCUGUUUUGGGGUUGUUUACAAAACACAUGCUUUGCAAAAGUGCGCUACAUUUAUAUUUGAUGUGGAAGUAUUUACGUCUUGGGUCUCUGAUUCAAGUAGAAAAGGGGACAACUUCAGCGUCCAAGUGAUGGGAAUAGGUGAUGUUGCGAUUCGUUAGCGUCUUUCUCGUGAAGAUUGUAAGUCGAAAUUCGAUUUUUAUCUCGGUGUGCUAUUCCUUACAGUUUCGAUUUUCAAAGCACUCGAAAGCUUCUUCCAUAUUCUGUUGGGUUUCAAAGUUUGCGUUUCCUCUCGUCAACAAUUUGGAGUAUUUUGGUGGAGCAGAACGCCGGAACCUCUUCUUCUUCGUUCAUACAUUUUGAAGCUCCUUAGAGUUUGUCCUCUGCUUUAUUCUGGUGUGUUGGUUUAGGACUAAAAAAAAUUGAGUUUGUAGCUCGAAAGAUGUGGGUUUUCGGGUUUGUUUUGGUUUUGAGCUUCUGCUUUCAUUUAUAGGAUCUUGGCGCUUGUGGCCUUUUAUGGUCCUAUGGAGAAAAGAAGAUACAGUCCCGAAUUGACCAAAGUCACAGCUAUGCUUUUGCUGUUGAGUUUUGGCUUUCAUCCCAUAAUUGUACAAUGCCAAGAAAGUGGUACUAACAUGACCAGUCACCUCUCCACCCAAACUCCAUCGCCGUCUAGGCCACCCCAUUUAAACACUGAACUCAAAAGAAUUCUUCUCAGCAUCGUUUUAGGAGUCUUAACUGGAUUAACAGGAGCUAUUAUUUGCGCUUGCGUCGUCCGUUGCUUGGUCUGCUACAUGAACCGAACCCCAAUCCUGAAAGGCCCUGUUAUAUUUUCCCCAAAGAUAUCUCCCAAAACUCUUCAAUCAGCUCUCGCAAGCGAAAACCAGUUGCUGGUUUCUAACUCAAAUGGAAAAUACUACAGGACGGUUCUAGACAAUGGACUCACUGUUGCUGUCAAGAGGCUCGAACCAUUUGAGAGUGGCUCACAGGAGAGGCAGAGCAAGUCUGCCAAGCGAAGGAUACAGCAGGAGCUGGGAAGGUUAGCCAGCUUGAGACACAGGAAUUUGAUGAGUUUACGAGCUUAUGUUCGAGAAUCUGAUAGGUUCUCUUUGGUCUACGAUUAUUUGCCAACUGGGAGUCUUGAAGAUGCAAUGAAUAGAGUGAGGGAGAAUCAGUUGCAGCUUGGAUGGGAAGUUCGGCUUCGGAUUGCUGUUGGGGUUGUUAAGGGGCUUCGAUAUCUUCACUUUGAAUGCGUCCCUCAGAUUUUGCAUUAUAAUUUGAAGCCGACAAAUGUGAUGUUGGAUGCUGAGUUUGAACCGAGGUUGGCGGAUUGUGGGUUGGCAAAACUCAUGCCUAAUUUGGAUAAAGCUACAUCUGGCUACCGUGCUCCCGAGUGCUUCCAGAAUUGCAGAUAUACAGACAAGAGUGACAUCUUCAGCUUUGGGAUGAUAUUGGGUGUUUUGUUAACCAGGAGAGACCCUACUGAUCCAUUCUUUGGGGAAGCAGCCGGUGGAGGUAGUUUAGGUCGUUGGCUGCUGCAUUUGCAGCAAGCAGGGGAGGCAAGGGAAGCACUAGAUAAGAGUAUUCUUGGGGAAGAAGGUGAGGAAGAUGAGAUACUAAUGGCAGUGAGAAUUGCUGUUGUUUGCCUAUCAGAUUUGCCGGCAGAUAGGCCUUCAAGUGAUGAGCUUGUCCUAAUGUUAUCUCAACUGCACAGCUUUUAACAGGAAUCGUAAUUGUAUUUGCCAAACUGCAGCCUGCAAAUUUUGGAAAUUGGAUUUUUGCUUAGAGGGAUUUGGUCUGCAAUUCUUAUUCGCUGAAAAAUUGUGAAAAGGCCAUAGUGUGGUGUAUGCAGGUGUAGCAUUUUUGUUUAGUCUCCACAGCUUGUUGAAUUUGUAUGAUUUUCUUUUCUAUCACAGCGUACAGUGUUGUAUACAUGACUUAACCCGUAAUUCGAGAAUCAACACUGAUAUGGUCAAGGGAAUUACCAACCCCAUAGAAGAGACUGUUUUAUUGAUGACUACUACGUGGGACACAUCUCUAUUAUUGUGUUCUCAGCUAAUGAUGGUGGGGCUUUGUUGGCUGUCUUUAUUUGGACAACCCUUUUUAAAAUUACAGGUCCUUCUAAAC